CAUUUUAUAAGCAUCACUAAUUAAGGAGGCGUUAACACGCACCAUGCAGACAACGCUAACUAGGAUCAUAAAUAAAAAUCACACAUUAGAAUAGGAUUUGCUUCCUUAAAUUUGGCAUACAGAAGCAGCACUUUGGAAAUCCUAUAACCAGAAAAACCAACCCCUUCCUCCCUACUGAGAAAAAAAAAAUCCUCAGCUCAGACCAGUCCCC